ensembl:snRNA U6 U6 spliceosomal RNA
GUGCUCACUCCAUCAGCACAUAUACUAAAAUUGAAGAAUAUAGAGAAGAUUAACAUGGCCCCUGCACAAGGAUGACAUGGAAAUUUGUGAAGUGUUUCAUAUUUUU